rnacentral:rRNA from 1 species
AUUGAACGCUGGCGGCAGGCCUAACACAUGCAAGUCGAGCGGAUGAAGGGAGCUUGCUCCUGUAUUCAGCGGCGGACGGGUGAGUAAUGCCUAGGAAUCUGCCUGGUAGUGGGGGAUAACGUCCGGAAACGGGCGCUAAUACCGCAUACGUCCUGAUGGAGAAAGUGGUGGAUCUUCGGACCUCACGCUAUCAGAUGAGCCUAGGUCGGAUUAGCUAGUUGUUGGGGUAAAGGCCUACCAAGGCGACGAUCCGUAACUGGUCUGAGAGGAUGAUCAGUCACACUGGAACUGAGACACGGUCCAGACUCCUACGGGAGGCAGCAGUGGGGAAUAUUGGACAAUGGGCGAAAGCCUGAUCCAGCCAUGCCGCGUGUGUGAAGAAGGUCUUCGGAUUGUAAAGCACUUUAAGUUGGGAGGAAGGGCAGUAAGUUAAUACCUUGCUGUUUUGACGUUACCAACAGAAUAAGCACCGGCUAACUUCGUG